rnacentral:rRNA from 1 species
AACGAACGCUGGCGGCAUGCCUAGCACAUGCAAGUCGAACGAGACCUUCGGGUCUAGUGGCGCACGGGUGCGUAACGCGUGGGAACCUGCCCUUAGGUUCGGAAUAACUCCCCGAAAGGGGUGCUAAUACCGGAUAAUGUCUUCGGACCAAAGAUUUAUCGCCUUUGGAUGGGCCCGCGUUGGAUUAGCUAGUUGGUAGGGUAAAAGCCUACCAAGGCGACGAUCCAUAGCUGGUCUGAGAGGAUGAUCAGCCACACUGGGACUGAGACACGGCCCAGACUCCUACGGGAGGCAGCAGUGGGGAAUAUUGGACAAUGGGCGAAAGCCUGAUCCAGCAAUGCCGCGUGAGUGAUGAAGGCCUUAGGGUUGUAAAGCUCUUUUACCCGGGAUGAUAAUCACAGUACCGGGAGAAUAAGCUCCGGCUAACUCCGUG